rnacentral:rRNA from 1 species
GACGAACGCUGGCGGCGUGCUUAACACAUGCAAGUCGAACGGUGAAGGGGCCUGCUUUUGUGGGCCCUGGAUGAGUGGCGAACGGGUGAGUAACACGUGAGUAACCUGCCCCCUUCUUCUGGAUAACCGCAUGAAAGUGUGGCUAAUACGGGAUAUUCUGGGUCUGUCGCAUGAUGGGUCUGGGAAAGAUUGCGCCUUUGGGUGUUUUUGGUGGGGGAUGGGCUCGCGGCCUAUCAGCUUGUUGGUGGGGUGAUGGCCUACCAAGGCGGUGACGGGUAGCCGGGCUGGUAGGGGGGACGGUUGCACUGGGACUGAGGCCCGGCCCAGACUCGUACGGGAGGGAGCGGUGGGGAAUAUUGCGCAAGGGGCGCAAGCGUGAUGCAGCGACGCCGCGUGAGGGAUGGAGGCCUUCGGGUUGUAAACCUCUUUCGCCAGUGAAGCAGGCCUGCUACUUGUGGGUGGGUUGACGGUAGCUGGAUAAGAAGCGCCGGCUAACUACGUG